rnacentral:rRNA from 1 species
UACGAAGGGGGCUAGCGUUGUUCGGAAUUACUGGGCGUAAAGCGCACGCAGGCGGAUUUAUAAGUCAGGGGUGAAAUCCCGGGGCUCAACCUCGGAAUUGCCCUUGAUACUGUCCAUCUUGAGUCCGGGAGAGGUGAGUGGAAUUCCUAGUGUAGAGGGGAAAUUCGUAGAUAUUAGGAAGAACACCAGUGGCGAAGGCGGCUCACUGGCCCGGUACUGACGCUCAUGUGCGAAAGCGUGGGGAGCAAACAGG